UGGGGAAUUUUGGACAAUGGGCGCAAGCCUGAUCCAGCCAUGCCGCGUGCGGGAAGAAGGCCUUCGGGUUGUAAACCGCUUUUGUCAGGGAAGAAAUCUUCUGAGUUAAUACCUCGGGAGGAUGACGGUACCUGAAGAAUAAGCACCGGCUAACUACGUGCCAGCAGCCGCGGUAAUACGUAGGGUGCAAGCGUUAAUCGGAAUUACUGGGCGUAAAGCGUGCGCAGGCGGUUUUGUAAGACAGAGGUGAAAUCCCCGGGCUCAACCUGGGAACUGCCUUUGUGACUGCAAGGCUUGAGUGCGGCAGAGGGGGAUGGAAUUCCGCGUGUAGCAGUGAAAUGCGUAGAUAUGCGGAGGAACACCGAUGGCGAAGGCAAUCCCCUGGGCCUGCACUGACGCUCAUGCACGAAAGCGUGGGGAGCAAAACAGGAUUAGAUACCCUGGUAGUCCACGCCCUAAACGAUGUCAACUGGUUGUUGGGAAGGUUCCUUCUCAGUAACGUAGCUAACGCGUGAAGUUGACCGCCUGGGGAGUACGGCCGCAAGGUUGAAAC
rnacentral:rRNA from 1 species